AGAGGGAUAGCUGGGUCAAAUGGUGGUUCCCUUCCCUAUUUUUGAAGAAAUCUCAUACUGCUUUCUAUAUUGGCUGCACCAGUUUGCAGUCCCACCAGCAGU
rnacentral:pre_miRNA from 1 species